rnacentral:lncRNA from 1 species
AGACAGCGUCUUGCUCUGUCGCCCAGGCUGUACUGCAGUGGCGCCAGCUCAGCUCACUGCAACCUCCAACUCCUGGGUUCAAGCAGUUCAUCUGCCUCAGCCUCCUGAGUAGCUGGGAUUACAGGCAUGAGCCACCAUACCCAGCACCUUUUUUUUUUUUAAUCUCCAAAUUGGCGGGAUGAAUGUGUCACAGAAAUAAAAGCCAAGAUAACACUGUAGGCUUUUGGCAAAAUCAAGGUAUUAAAAGAAAGAAACAAACAGAUCUAGAACAGAAAAAUCAUGUCCAAAGUCUUGGGCAUGCUUGUCACAGCCAACAUCCUGACAUGGAAAGUUUAUGUUUCUGUCCCUGGGCCUCCUUCUACCUCCCACUAAAUCAUAGACAUUGCCAGAUUGCAGACCCUGUCUUCAUAGAAGUGUGAAAUGUAAAAGUGUGUGAAAGUAGUGUCUCAACCAGGUGCAGUGGCUCACACCUGUAAUCCCAGCACUUUGGGGAGGCCAAGGUGAGUGAAUUGCUUGAGCUCAGAAGUUCAGGACCAGCCUGGGCAGCAUAAUGAGAUACCUGUCUCUAUAAAAAAUACAGAAAUUAGCCAGGCAUGGUGGCAGCCACCUGUAAUACCAGGUACUCAGGUGGCUGAAGCACGAGAAUCGCUUGAACCCAGGAGGCAGAGGUUGCAGUGAGCUGAGAUUGCGCCACUGCCCUCUAGCCUAGGCGACAGAGCAAGAUUCAGUCUCGAGAAAAAAAAAAAAAAGACCGUAGAGUCUCUCCUCCUCUUUUUUAAUGGGUUUAUCUAGGCACGUUUGGAAAACUCAGCAAGUUAUACUAGAUUUUUACUUCUCUUCAUCCUCAGUAUAUUCUGUUCAUCAUGUUAGAAGCCUUACUUAAAGACAGACUUUACCUUAGCUAUAGUUUUAUUUGCUCUUAUUUGGCUUCCUAAAACUAGCAAACCUCAGCUCUAAAUCUUUUCUUUUUUAAUCUAACCUUGUAAUCUGUGUGCUUAUUUGGUUUUCAAGUACCCAAAAUAGAAUGAUGAUUGAUAUUAUUUAAUACUGGAGUGCCUCUCCAGUAUUAAAUAAAAUGUGCUAAGCAUUAUCUAGAGCAAAGAUUUAGCCCAUCCUCC